rnacentral:misc_RNA from 1 species
UGAAUGGUCGACGUGAGAUCCAGGACGCCCAGCCGUGGCGCAUCGUGGCAUUCGAGGACAGCGCGAGCGGUACCUAUGCCCGAUUCGAUCGGCCUGGUGAAGGUCCGUUCUGGUGGCACGUCGAGCAGUUGGAACGGGUCGACGAAUCGGGAUCGGACGGUACGGCAUGACCAGAGAAUUUACGCCGAGCCAGGCUGCUAACGACCUGGCCCGGCAAGGAUCGGACGCCGAGCAUGCGGCGCCGACAAGAGGAUGAUACUGCGAUGACUCACGAACCGACGCAUUGCAAGGCCGUCCCGGUCGCCGAGUUUGGCGUCCAGGACCCCGACCGCACCGGGCUAGUGCACUGGCUGUUGCUGCCGCCGAGGAUCUACGACGAGGGCAUCGCCGACGACUGCCCAGCGCUUUGCGGCGCGACCCCCGAGACGAGAACCUACCCGGCCAGUCUAGACGUCGACGACUACCGCAGGGAUGUGGGCAAAGAACAGGUGUCUGUCCAGCCGGACGGAACGUGGCGCCUCAGCGGAUGGCAUACGGAGCCGGGCGUGGAGAUCCACAUCAGUUGGUUCUGCCCGCACUGCCUACUCGAGUUGACGACGGCCAGGAUGUCGGCAACGGAUCGGAUACUUGAUGCGCAGAUCAGGGUGAUGG